rnacentral:lncRNA from 10 species
GCAACAUCUUGCAAAAUUGAGAAUAUUUUCUCCAUGGCUUCAUCAAACAGAAUUUUCUUUUGUAAAGUGGCUUGACCCUCACAGCUAUGGCACAGAUAGCAGGGUCAUCAAAAGCUGCUCCAUUCUUCUGGAAGCUACAGAGAAAGGGAACCUGGAAACCUGGUAUGCUGGCAAAAAGGGAAAGAACUGAAAAUUGUAUUUGAGAACAAAGACACUAAACUUACCACCAUGCCAAAAGUAGAAGAGAUAUGAGAAACUAAAUGAUCCCCACUUAGUAGGAAGCAUAAUAUUGCAUCAGAAAUAAAAUGGGAAUAAUUAUAGCACCUGCUUUAUUUGCAUUUUGUGACCAAUAAAUGAAAGAGUGUAUCUGCAAAGUUUUUACUUCAAGAACUCAAGGUACCAUGUAGUAAGAGCUGAACACACAGGAGCUGCCUUUGUUAUCAAGAUUUCUCACUAAUACAGCAUAUUCAAGAUAGAAUUC